rnacentral:rRNA from 1 species
CAAGUCGAACGCGAAAGCCUCCUUCGGGGGGCAAGUAGAGUGGCGCACGGGUGAGUAACACGUAGGUAAUCUACCUUUGGAUUGGGAAUAACCACCGGAAACGGUGGCUAAUACCGAAUAAUGCAGCGGCACCUAAUGGUGACAGUUGUUAAAGCGGGGGAUCGCAAGACCUCGCGUCUGAAGAGGAGCCUGCGGCAGAUUAGCUAGUUGGUAAGGUAACGGCUUACCAAGGCGAUGAUCUGUAGCCGGCCUGAGAGGGCGGUCGGCCACACUGACACUGACAUACGGGUCAGACUCCUACGGGAGGCAGCAGUCGGGAAUUUUGGGCAAUGGGCGAAAGCCUGACCCAGCAACGCCGCGUGAAGGAUGAAAUCCUUCGGGAUGUAAACUUCGCAAGAACGGGAAGAAUAAGUAAGGGUUAAUAUCUCUUACGAUGACGGUACUGUUUGUAAGCUCCGGCUAACUCCGUGCCAGCAGCCGCGGUAAUACGGGGGGAGCAAGCGUUGUUCGGAUUUACUGGGCGUAAAGGGCGCGUAGGCGGCCACCGCAAGUCGACUGUGAAAUCUCCGGGCUUAACCCGGAAAGGUCAGCCGAUACUGCGGGGCUAGAGUGCAGAAGGGGCAACUGGAAUUCUCGGUGUAGCGGUGAAAUGCGUAGAUAUCGAGAGGAACACCUGCGGCGAAGGCGGGUUGCUGGGCUGACACUGACGCUGAGGCGCGAAAGCUAGGGGAGCGAACGGGAUUAGAUACCCCGGUAGUCCUAGCCUUAAACGAUGAAUGCUUGGUGUCUGGGGUUUUAUAGUCCCCGGGUGCCGUCGCUAACGCUUUAA